UACGAAGGGGGCUAGCGUUGUUCGGAAUCACUGGGCGUAAAGCGCACGUAGGCGGAUUGCUAAGUCAGGGGUGAAAUCCUGGAGCUCAACUCCAGAACUGCCUUUGAUACUGCAAAUCUCGAGUCCGGAAGAGGUGAGUGGAAUUCCUAGUGUAGAGGUGAAAUUCGUAGAUAUUAGGAAGAACACCAGUGGCGAAGGCGGCUCACUGGUCCGGUACUGACGCUGAGGUGCGAAAGCGUGGGGAGCAAACAGG
rnacentral:rRNA from 1 species